UACGAAGGGGGCUAGCGUUGCUCGGAAUCACUGGGCGUAAAGGGUGCGUAGGCGGGUCUUUAAGUCAGGGGUGAAAUCCUGGAGCUCAACUCCAGAACUGCCUUUAAGACUGCAUCGCUUGAAUCAUGGAGAGGUGAGUGGAAUUCCGAGUGUAGAGGUGAAAUUCGUAGAUAUUCGGAAGAACACCAGUGGCGAAGGCGACUCACUGGACAUGUAUUGACGCUGAGGUGCGAAAGCGUGGGGAGCAAACAGG
rnacentral:rRNA from 1 species